rnacentral:rRNA from 1 species
AUUGAACGCUGGCGGCAUGCCUAACACAUGCAAGUCGAACGGAGGGCUUCGGUCCUCAGUGGCGGACGGGUGAGUAACGCGUAGGGAUCUGCCCCGCAGUGGGGGACAACCUGGGGAAACUCAGGCUAAUACCGCAUACGCUCCAUGGAGGAAAGCGGGGGGACCUUCGGGCCUCGCGCUGCGGGAUGAACCUACGUCCGAUUAGCUAGUUGGUGGGGUAAAGGCCCACCAAGGCGACGAUCGGUAGCUGGUCUGAGAGGACGGCCAGCCACACUGGGACUGAGACACGGCCCAGACUCCUACGGGAGGCAGCAGUGGGGAAUAUUGGACAAUGGGCGCAAGCCUGAUCCAGCAAUGCCGCGUGGGUGAAGACGGCCUGCGGGUUGUAAAGCCCUUUAGGCGGGGAAGAACGGCCGGGCGCGAAUAGCGCGCGGCUCUGACGUUACCCGCAGAAUAAGCACCGGCUAACUCCGUGCCAGCAGCCGCGGUAAU